GACGAACGCUGGCGGCGUGCUUAACACAUGCAAGUCGAGCGGUAAGGCCCCUUCGGGGGUACACGAGCGGCGAACGGGUGAGUAACACGUGAGCAACCUACCCUCAACUUUGGGAUAAGCCUCGGAAACGGGGUCUAAUACCGAAUAUCACUCCUUGUUUCAUGCCGGGGGUUGAAAGUUCUGGCGGUUGGGGAUGGGCUCGCGGCCUAUCAGCUUGUUGGUGGGGUAAUGGCCUACCAAGGCGUCGACGGGGAGCCGGCCUGAGAGGGCGGCCGGUCACACUGGGACUGAGACACGGCCCAGACUCCUACGGGAGGCAGCAGUGGGGAAUAUUACGCAAUGGACGAAAGUCUGACGCAGCAACGCCGCGUGAGGGAUGACGGCCUUCGGGUUGUAAACCUCUUUCAGCAGGGACGAAGCGAGAGUGACGGUACCUGCAGAAGAAGGACCGGCCAACUACGUGCCAGCAGCCGCCGUAACAC
rnacentral:rRNA from 1 species